GGGGCUGUAGCUCAGUUGGCAGAGCGCCUGGCUCGCAUUCAGGAGGCCACGGGUUCGAGUCCCGUCAGCUCCACCA
rnacentral:tRNA from 1 species